rnacentral:rRNA from 1 species
AUGGCGAGGUUGUGGAGGGAUCCAGCUCAAACCGGAGGUUGUAGGCGAUGCAGAAUAGGCCGGUGGAGCUCUAGAGCAUAUCCUCGCGGGUCGGGGACGGCUCCGGCCAUGGACGCGCGCGAGGCAGUGUGGGAAGAAGGGGAGCGGCGUGAGGGAGCGAAAGAAUGGGACGAGCAGGCAGCUAGGGUUUCGAGAGGAUGGCGGGGGUGGUCUUAUCCACUUGGGGGAGUCGCGGGAUGGCCGACACGCAACCCCCGGGGCGACCAUGGUGGCUUGAUGUGUGCCAUGGCCAUUCCCCCUGUUUACUGUACGUGA